rnacentral:rRNA from 1 species
UACGUAGGUGGCAAGCGUUGUCCGGAUUUACUGGGCGUAAAGAGCGCGCAGGCGGUCCUCCAAGUCGCGUGUGAAAGCCCCCGGCUCAACUGGGGAGGGUCACGCGAUACUGGUCGACUCGAAGGCAGGAGAGGGUAGUGGAAUUCCCGGUGUAGUGGUGAAAUGCGUAGAUAUCGGGAGGAACACCAGUGGCGAAGGCGACUUCCUGGCCUGUUCUUGACGCUGAGGCGCGAAAGCUAGGGGAGCAAACGGG